GUAGACAAUAAAAAAUAGUUUAGUUCAUUUGAAAGAACUCUUAAAACUAUAUAUAUUAAACUCUAUUACAGUUCCCAGUUGUUGUGACAAGUCUGGAUCAAGUUGUUAUCACCUUGUUACAAGGUUGAUGACGGUAACAGACUUGCUACAAGUUGUUUCAACAAGACUAAUACAGGCUGUUUGUAACUUGUAAACAACUUGUUACGUACAAUAGUUAUCGGACUUAUUACACACGUAAAAACGCACAAUUGUUACAGGUCUGCAAACAAGUUGUUUCAAAUCUCGCACUGCUUGUUCCCAGUCGUUGUAACAUGUUUGGAACAAGCUGUUAACAACUUGUAACAAGCUUGAUGGCAUUAUCAGACUUGUUACAAGGUUGUUCCUUACAAGUCUGUUACAGUCAUGAUAUAACAAGAAUGUUACAAGGUUGACGACACAAGGUUGUAACAAUAUUGUUAUACCAUGACUGUAUCGGACUUGUUGGAACAACCUUGCAACAAAUCUGAUAAUAUCAACAAGGUUGUUACAAGUUGUUAACAGCUUGUUCCAAACCUGUUGACAUUUGACAACUUGGGACAAGCAGUGCGAACACAACUUGUUGACAGACAUAUGACUU